rnacentral:rRNA from 1 species
GCAUGGCUCAGGGGUCAAAGAAGCAAUCCGGUGAGAGAUGAGCUCGCGUCCCAUUAGAUAGUUGGUGAGGUAACGGCUCACCAAGUCAACGAUGGGUAGCCGACYUGAGAGGGUGAUCGGCCACAUUGGGACUGAGACACGGCCCAAACUCCUACGGGAGGCAGCAGUGGGGAAUAUUGGGCAAUGGGCGCAAGCCUGACCCAGCAACGCCGCGUGAGGGAAGAAGGUUUUCGGAUUGUAAACCUCUGUCCUCAGGGACGAAGGAAGUGACGGUACCUGAGGAGGAAGCCCCGGCUAACUACGUGCCAGCAGCCGCGGUAAUACGUAGGGGGCGAGCGUUGUCCGGAAUUACUGGGCGUAAAGGGCGCGCAGGCGGCCGAUCAAGUCAGAUGUGAAACCCCCGGGCUCAACCUGGGAACUGCAUUUGAAACUGGUUGGCUUGAGUGCAGGAGAGGAAAGCGGAAUUCCUAGUGUAGCGGUGAAAUGCGUAGAUAUUAGGAAGAACACCAGUGGCGAAGGCGGCUUUCUGGACUGCAACUGACGCUGAGGCGCGAAAGCGUGGGGAGCGAACAGGAUUAGAUACCCUGGUAGUCCACGCCGUAAACGAUGGAUGCUAGGUGUGGGAGGUAUCGACCCCUUCCGUGCCGCAGCAAACGCAAUAAGCAUCCCGCCUGGGGAGUACGGCCGCAAGGUUGAAACUCAAAGGAAUUGACGGGGGCCCGCACAAGCAGCGGAGCAUGUGGUUUAAUUCGACGCAACGCGAAGAACCUUACCAGGUCUUGACAUCUCCUGAAUGGCGUGGAAACACGCAGUCCCUUCGGGGCAGGAAGACAGGUGGUGCAUGGUUGUCGUCAGCUCGUGUCGUGAGAUGUUGGGUUAAGUCCCGCAACGAGCGCAACCCUUAUACUUAGUUGCCAGCAGGUGAGGCUGGGCACUCUAGGUAGACUGCCGGGGACAACUCGGAGGAAGGUGGGGACGACGUCAAAUCAUCAUGCCCCUUAUGACCUGGGCUACACACGUGCUACAAUGGCCGGGACMAAGGGAAGCGAAGGGGUAACCCGGAGCGGAACCCAAAACCCGGUCCCAGUUCGGAUUGUGGGCUGCAACCCGCCCACAUGAAGUCGGGAGUUGCUAGUAUCG